rnacentral:lncRNA from 1 species
GUUGACAUAAGAACCAUAGUUCCAUAAUAAUUAUCUUCAAAUCAAUGGAUAUCUUAAAUGUGUUUUUUUCUUCCUUAGAGAUUAUUAUUAAACUGAUGUAUUUGAUAAUAAAGAAUUUUAGGACUGAGAAAGUUAAGUUUUUCUUACCAAUAAUAAGAUAUUGAAAUAUAUAAAUUAUAAAACAGAAAUAAAAUGAAAUAAAGGAGGUUAUCCCUAAAGUCAUUUACCUUAGUCACUUGCAAUUAAAUAUGGUUACUUCGGAAGAAGAAGUGUGGCCCUAAAGCUACUGUAACAUGAAUCAUGCCCUAAUGUGCACUAUAUAUGAACUACUUUGGUCAGAAGGCAGCGGCGGGUAAGGAUGGCUUCCUCUCACAGUGCUUCUUAGGCUAUCCAUUUACCAAGGAAUUCUAAUCUCUUUCUCUCACUUCACCAGGAAAGGAGGGAGUUUAAGAUAUAGAACUGGGCAUGCUAGCCUCUUUUUUCCCUUUUGUGGAUUUGUCAUAACUGCAGAGAACCGAUGUUGUGGUCUCUUGCCAGCUACAUUGUGAACCUUGCAGUGAAAGUUCUUUGCCUCUGCAAAGGGAGAUUUGUGCUUGUGCAGAACUGCCCAUGCCUUAGUAAGCAGGUCUGUCUAAUUCUAAGUUCAAUAUCUGGUGGCUAUUGUUGGCAUAAACUUAAAGUACAUCCUCUAACCUAGCCUUUUUCAGCAGUAAACUUAAAAUAUUGAAUCUCCAUCUGUCUGUGUCUCAAGUGGUUCAGAGGUCAGGAGAGGAGAGGGACAUUAUUUUAUGACUCCCUCAAACUUUAACAAAGACUAGUGCAGAUUAUAUUUCGAAGUAAGCAUGAGAUAUAUUAAAAACCACAUGUGGGAAUUCUUUCCUAAUUUUAGAGGUUUUUUUUAAAUAAUGGAAAUUCUAUUGAAAUUGAGUAGUGUUAAUUACAAGGCAACAGGUAAACAUUUGUUCAGGAUAUUUAAAAGGUCUGCUGAGUUGGAAUUGUGACAGACCACAUUGUUGACUCUAGAUUGAAUUGGAAGGGAAGAAUGUGAAAUGAAUUAGGAUAUCCUCUGUUCACCUCUAUUAACUUUCUUAAAUGAGUAUAACUUAGAAAUAAUAAAAUGCAAGUAUUUUAACGUUAUAGUUGGGAGAGUUUUGACAAAUGUAAACACCCACUUCACCACCACUACCAUCCUGAUAUAGUGUGUGUCCAUCACCCAAAAAGUUCUCUAAAGCCCUUUUGCAGUUGGUUCCCCUCCACCUGAACAGCCAUCCCUAGUCAACUACUUUUCUGCUUUCUGUGGCUAUACGUUAGAUUUGACUUCAGAAUUCUAGAGUUUGAAAUAAAUAGGCCAUAUAAUAUGCACUCUUUUUGUGUCUGACUUUUUUUUUGCUUAACAUGAUGCUUUUGAAACCCAUCCAUGUUGAGAUUCAUCCAUGUUAUCAUGUGUAUCAAUAAUAAGUUCCUUUUUAUUGCUGAAUAGUAUUCUAGUAUAUAGAUAUACCACAAUUUGUUUAGCUGUUCACCUAUUGAUGGACAUUUAGGUUGUUUCAAGUUUUGAUCUAUUAUGAAUAAAGCUGC